GGAUGUGAGGGCAAUCUGGCUGCGACCUGUCACCCCAUUGAUUGCCAGGGUUGAUUCGGCUGAUCUGGCUGGCUAGGCGGGUGUUCCCUUCCUCCCUCACUGCUCCAUGUGUGUCCGUUCCGAAGCUGCACACUCGGUCGAAGAGGACGGCCUUCCCCGAAUAGAACUAGUCUUCGGCCGAGGGUAUACGAGUAGCUGCACUCCCCUGCUAGAACCUACAAACAAGCUCUCAAGCCCCUUGUCCCCACCUGCAGGGGGGAAGCUUCAUGAGUGGUGAAGCAGAGCCGCAGGUGUCAGGUGUCUCUCUGUCUCCCUCU
ensembl:misc_RNA 7SK 7SK RNA